GGUGCUGUGGCAUAGUAGCUUAGGCAUCUGCCUGUGGUGCAGACAUCCUAUUGGGCUCUGGUUCGAAUCCCAGCAGCUCCA
rnacentral:tRNA from 1 species